rnacentral:rRNA from 1 species
AUACGGAGGAUCCGAGCGUUAUCCGGAUUUAUUGGGUUUAAAGGGUGCGCAGGCGGGAGAUUAAGUCGGCGGUGAAAUUUUGCAGCUCAACUGUAAAAGUGCCUUCGAAACUGGUUUCCUUGAGUGUAGAUGAAGUAGGCGGAAUUUGUGGUGUAGCGGUGAAAUGCAUAGAUAUCACGAGGAACUCCGAUUGCGCAGGCAGCUUACUAAACUACUACUGACGCUCAGGCACGAAGGCGUGGGGAUCAAACAGGAUUAGAUACCCUGGUAGUCCACGCAGUAAACGAUGAUUACUCGCUGUUUGCGAUACACAGUAAGCGGCUUAGCGAAAGCGUUAAGUAAUCCACCUGGGGAGUACGUUCGCAAGAAUGAAACUCAAAGGAAUUGACGGGG